UAAGGCCGAGAGCUGAUGACGAGUUACCCUUUGGGUGACGAAGUGGUUGAUGCCAUGCUUCCAAGAAAAGCUUCUAAGCUUCAGGUAACCAGGAACCGUACCCCAAACCGACACAGGUGGUUGGGUAGAGAAUACCAAGGCGCUUGAGAGAACUCGGGUGAAGGAACUAGGCAAAAUGGCACCGUAACUUCGGGAGAAGGUGCGCCGGUGAGGGUGAAGCAUUUACUGCGUAAGCCCAUGCCGGUCGAAGAUACCAGGCCGCUGCGACUGUUUAUUAAAAACACAGCACUCUGCAAACACGAAAGUGGACGUAUAGGGUGUGACGCCUGCCCGGUGCCGGAAGGUUAAUUGAUGGGGUUAGCUAACGCGAAGCUCUUGAUCGAAGCCCCGGUAAACGGCGGCCGUAACUAUAACGGUCCUAAGGUAGCGAAAUUCCUUGUCGGGUAAGUUCCGACCUGCACGAAUGGCGUAACGAUGGCGGCGCUGUCUCCACCCGAGACUCAGUGAAAUUGAAAUCGCUGUGAAGAUGCAGUGUAUCCGCGGCUAGACGGAAAGACCCCGUGAACCUUUACUAUAGCUUUGCACUGGACUUUGAAUUUGCUUGUGUAGGAUAGGUGGGAGGCUUUGAAGCGUGGACGCCAGUUCGCGUGGAGCCAACCUUGAAAUACCACCCUGGCAACUUUGAGGUUCUAACUCAGGUCCGUUAUCCGGAUCGAGGACAGUGUAUGGUGGGUAGUUUGACUGGGGCGGUCUCCUCCUAAAGAGUAACGGAGGAGUACGAAGGUGCGCUCAGACCGGUCGGAAAUCGGUCGUAGAGUAUAAAGGCAAAAGCGCGCUUGACUGCGAGACAGACACGUCGAGCAGGUACGAAAGUAGGUCUUAGUGAUCCGGUGGUUCUGUAUGGAAGGGCCAUCGCUCAACGGAUAAAAGGUACUCCGGGGAUAACAGGCUGAUACCGCCCAAGAGUUCAUAUCGACGGCGGUGUUUGGCACCUCGAUGUCGGCUCAUCACAUCCUGGGGCUGAAGCCGGUCCCAAGGGUAUGGCUGUUCGCCAUUUAAAGUGGUACGCGAGCUGGGUUUAGAACGUCGUGAGACAGUUCGGUCCCUAUCUGCCGUGGACGUUUGAGAUUUGAGAGGGGCUGCUCCUAGUACGAGAGGACCGGAGUGGACGAACCUCUGGUGUUCCGGUUGUCACGCCAGUGGCAUUGCCGGGUAGCUAUGUUCGGAAUAGAUAACCGCUGAAAGCAUCUAAGCGGGAAACUAGCCUCAAGAUGAGAUCUCACUGGGACCUUGAGUCCCCUGAAGGGCCGUCGAAGACUACGACGUUGAUAGGUUGGGUGUGUAAGCGCUGUGAGGCGUUGAGCUAACCAAUACUAAUUGCCCGUGAGGCUUGACCAUAUAACACCCAAGCAAUUUGACUACUCGAAAGAGCAUCAGAUUGCGGUGUGUGAAGACGAAA
rnacentral:rRNA from 2 species